CCGUCGUCCUUCAUCCACCCCGCAUGGGCUUGUCGACCUGGCCCGUUAAAGCUUCCAGAAAUCACGCCCAAGCAAAUCACGAUUGCUUUUCUCUCGUGAUCCUGCCAGCGAGUCUCCCCUAAGCUGAGCCGCCUCCGCCGCCGCCAUGCCCAGUCGUACACCCCACCCCCAGCGAGUUUCCCACGCGUUCUCUCGAUCUCCAGGACGACGCCGCAUCAGCUACCUCGAACAGCGGACUUCUUCCCGCCCGGCGACCAGCCUGGAGGCUAGAUUGACGGCCCCAGGUGGCUGAUCCAUUCCACCCAGGAGACGCGCGGUGGAGGCGCGCAGGGGGACUGGAGGAACGGGGCGGCGCGGAGAUGGAGGAGCGGGGCAGCGCGGCCCCACUAGCGCAGGCAGGCCUGGUGUCAGAGGUCGCCAUGGGAGGUUGUGAAGGACGUAGAGGCCAAAGACCUUUCAUCAGUUCCUCCUUUCAAGGUAUGAUGCAAUCGUGCAAUCACCCUAUGUCCCUAAUCCCUAAUUGGUGACAUGAUAGAUGUAUCUCAAGGCAUUUCAAUAUUUCUCGAUGUAGCCAACUGGAUCGAGGGUCAUUUGAAUGGUUCCAUAAUUCCAUGCAACCUCCUGCAGUUUUAUCCUUGCGAGUUCAGAGGAUUGAGUUUCUUUACGCCAUAGUGCAAUAUGUUGGGGGACUUCCCAUGACUUGAUGAUUCUUUUUCUUGAAUGGCUGUGAAUAUGUCGGGGGACUUCCCAUGAGCGCAUAUGAGUGCAAUAUGUGCAUGAAAUUACAAAACAACAAUGCUUCUAUGUCGAUCUUGCAGGUAGGUAUGAGCACCAUGUUUACUAAGGCAGUCCACUAUGCAACGUUCCUGCAGUUUCAGAUCAAGGUGAGGAUUUAGCCAUUUGUUUAUGUUUCGGAUCAUCGAGAUAGUUAUUUUUUUGGGUGUAAAGAGCUUCACUUGGUACUAAUUAAUAGUUCUAUCUGUUGUUGAUGACAAAUACCUUUUCUUCAUGUGAACCUUCCACUUGGUCAUCACUUGAUGAUUCCAUGCACCUCCUGGUUCCUGCAGUGUCAUCCUUCAGAGUUCAGAGCUUUUCAGUUCCUUUAUAUUCACUGCUUAUACUAGGGCAGAGAACUCACCCCAUGCAUGCGGCCACCGCUGUCCAUGACUAUUUCGACACGGAAAAAAUGUCGAGGUAGUCUAUCGGAUCGGCAGCUGCAUCACUUCCACCCCACAGGCAGAGGCUCUGCUUCACCACUGCUGUUCACUGCACACUCUCCAAAUGAUCGAUAAAUGCCAUACUUUCUUUACUGUUUUAUAUAAAUCUUUUGCAUUAGCCAUCCAAUUGGUUGAAGCAAGUUACAUUUAAUUUUAUUCUAAAUUUCAAUGAUGAUUCGAAAGGCGUAAACAUCUGCAAAUAUCACAAGUACUAUUUAUCUUCUCGCUCACUCUGUGCUAGGUGACACUCUGAUAAUGGAAGAUUGGAUUUGUGCUUUUAUAAUAAUUAAUAGAUCUUAUAUUAACACUGUUAUGUGUACACGCAUUUGUCGAAAUUUGGUUUCUCGUAGUUGUUAACGCUGCAUGUUAAUCUUAUCACACCUCCGAUUAAUCCUCAUGUUUGUAGGAGCCAUGGCUGUAUAAUAUGUUUUGUACCAUUCGCAGGUAGCAGAGGAAAUAUGACUGGAAGUGUAUCUUGUAAAAUUUCUCUUUAAAGCAUUUCAAUACUACAAUGCUAAGGCUACUAUGCUACUCUUCGUGUACUGUAAUCUCUAAAAAGUUAAUGAUUUUUCAUUGUACCGAACUCUCAUGCUACUUAUAUUUCACACAAAUGAGGGUUUAAAAAUUUUCAGUAGAGUAAGGUAGGAAGGAGAAAAAGGAGGGAGGUGAUAUCUUGAAGCACCAAGAUAAAGAAGUUUAGUGCUUGUGAUAGUUCAGUUAUUCAAGAAUCCACCUUUCAGAUGAUGCACCAAAGAACUUCUCAGUAUCAGCUCCAGCGAAAUCCAAAUGUUGAUAUUAACUUUGGUUCAGUGAGUACGGUAGGAAUGAGAAAAGGAGGGAGGAGAUAUCUUGAAGCACCAAUAUAAAGAACUGAGCUUUGCAUUAGCUCAUAUUCCCAUUCAUUAUAAGAAGCUAAGUAGCGGGCAAAUAUAUUACUUUCAAGCAUGAAUGUUGCAUAGUUGCCUUAGCAUUGUUAACUGCGUAUGUAUUGCAGGUUUAUUGCUUGUGAUAGUUCAGUUAUUCAAGAAUCCACCUUUCAGAUGAUGCACCAAAGAACUUCUCAGUAUCAGCUCCAGUGAAAUCCAAAUAUUGAUAUUAACUUUGGUUCAGUGAAUUGCACUUUUUUGAAAUAUAAAUAUAAGGAAAACAGGGAUCCAUGUUUUGCGCCAGCCUCAAUGGUGAUUAGGCCUAUAUGCACAGGCCAGCGAGCCGCACAAGACAAUACAGUUUGGUUUCUGCACAUGAACGAAAGCUCAUUACCAGUACAACAUGCAGUCAUCAAUUUGUACAGAAUUAAGUUUAUUAGCAGCUAAUCCAAAGUUUCGGUAAGACGAGUAGGAUAACAAGUAUGAUGAGCUUAUACUUAUCAAUUAAAUUUAGUAAUUGUGAAGAGGAACUGGAUUCUCCUAUUUUGUAGUGUCCCAUCUAUAUCUGGUGGAACAAACAACUGCAUCUCAUGGUGUACUUAUUAUGAUUAUGAAGAUUCUGCUCUUUUUUUAGGACUUUCACACGUGUCUGUUUUCUUGCAUAAUUUUCCUGUGGAUAUCCUAUUGAUUUUCAUAUGACAUGAAGGAAAUUGAGCAAAAAUAUGGAAAAUAAGAAGAGACCGCCCUUGAACCGAACUACCACGGUUCAUUACAACAAUUCCUUGAAAAGACCAAAAUUCUUGUCAAGUUCCCUUCAGGCAGAUAAGAAGAUAAGAGAUGAUGAUAGGAAGUUGGGAUAACUGGUCCAAAUCAAAUCAAGUGGCAGUGUGCUUCCAGAAGUUUAAGAAGAAACACUAACAUUGGCCGUGCAGUUCGCUCGGUGUUCUAGCUGAAGUCAUCAACAAUCAAAUCUAUAGUUGAUAGAGAAAAUAUUAUAUUCAUCUUCUGAUUUCACAGUGCAGGCAUGUAAGAACUGGUGUUUAUAUCACUAUCUAUAUCAUUCACUGGAGAUUAUUUC